GACAGAGGUGCCAAGCGUUAGGCGGAAUCACUGGGCUUAAAGCGUGUGUAGGCGGGCGAUCGAGUACCUUGUGAAAUCCCACGGCUCAACCGUGGAACUGCUGGGUAUACUGGUUGUCUUGAGCCAGCUAGGGGCGAGCGGAACAGACGGUGGAGCGGUGAAAUGCGUAGAUAUCGUCUGGAACGCCGAAGGUGAAAACAGCUCGCUGGGGCUGCGCUGACGCUGAGACACGAAAGCCAGGGGAGCGAACGGG
rnacentral:rRNA from 1 species